rnacentral:rRNA from 1 species
GAUGAACGCUGGCGGCGUGCCUAAUACAUGCAAGUCGAGCGAACAGACGAGGAGCUUGCUCCUCUGACGUUAGCGGCGGACGGGUGAGUAACACGUGGAUAACCUACCUAUAAGACUGGGAUAACUUCGGGAAACCGGAGCUAAUACCGGAUAAUAUAUUGAACCGCAUGGUUCAAUAGUGAAAGACGGUUUUGCUGUCACUUAUAGAUGGAUCCGCGCCGCAUUAGCUAGUUGGUAAGGUAACGGCUUACCAAGGCAACGAUGCGUAGCCGACCUGAGAGGGUGAUCGGCCACACUGGAACGGAGACACGGUCCAGACUCCUACGGGAGGCAGCAGUAGGGAAUGUGCCGCAAUGGGCGAAAGCUUGACGGAGCAACGCCGCGUGAGUGAUGAAGGUCUUCGGAUCGUAAAACUGUGUUAUUAGGGAAGAACAAAUGUGUAAGUAACUAUGCACGUCUUGACGGUACCUAAUCAGAAAGCCACGGCUAACUACGUG